UGGGGAAUAUUGCACAAUGGGCGCAAGCCUGAUGCAGCCAUGCCGCGUGUAUGAAGAAGGCCUUCGGGUUGUAAAGUACUUUCAGCGGGGAGGAAGGGUUGCUGGUUAAUAACCAGUGACAUUGACGUUACCCGCAGAAGAAGCACCGGCUAACUCCGUGCCAGCAGCCGCGGUAAUACGGAGGGUGCAAGCGUUAAUCGGAAUUACUGGGCGUAAAGCGCACGCAGGCGGUCUGUCAAGUCAGAUGUGAAAUCCCCGGGCUUAACCUGGGAACUGCAUUUGAAACUGGCAGACUGGAGUCUUGUAGAGGGGGGUAGAAUUCCAGGUGUAGCGGUGAAAUGCGUAGAGAUCUGGAGGAAUACCGGUGGCGAAGGCGGCCCCCUGGACAAAGACUGACGCUCAGGUGCGAAAGCGUGGGGAGCAAACA
rnacentral:rRNA from 1 species